GGCGAACGGGUGAGUAACACGUGGGCAAUCUGCCCUGCACUCUGGGACAAGCCCUGGAAACGGGGUCUAAUACCGGAUACUGAGCCACUUGGGCAUCCAAGUGGUUCGAAAGCUCCGGCGGUGCAGGAUGAGCCCGCGGCCUAUCAGCUUGUUGGUGAGGUAAUGGCUCACCAAGGCGACGACGGGUAGCCGGCCUGAGAGGGCGACCGGCCACACUGGGACUGAGACACGGCCCAGACUCCUACGGGAGGCAGCAGUGGGGAAUAUUGCACAAUGGGCGAAAGCCUGAUGCAGCGACGCCGCGUGAGGGAUGACGGCCUUCGGGUUGUAAACCUCUUUCAGCAGGGAAGAAGCGAAAGUGACGGUACCUGCAGAAGAAGCGCCGGCUAACUACGUGCCAGCAGCCGCGGUAAUACGUAGGGCGCAAGCGUUGUCCGGAAUUAUUGGGCGUAAAGAGCUCGUAGGCGGCUUGUCACGUCGGUUGUGAAAGCCCGGGGCUUAACCCCGGGUCUGCAGUCGAUACGGGCAGGCUAGAGUUCGGUAGGGGAGAUCGGAAUUCCUGGUGUAGCGGUGAAAUGCGCAGAUAUCAGGAGGAACACCGGUGGCGAAGGCGGAUCUCUGGGCCGAUACUGACGCUGAGGAGCGAAAGCGUGGGGAGCGAACAGGAUUAGAUACCCUGG
rnacentral:rRNA from 1 species